rnacentral:rRNA from 1 species
CCUACGGGCGGCAGCAGUGGGGAAUAUUGCACAAUGGGGGAAACCCUGAUGCAGCAACGCCGCGUGAGUGAAGAAGUCAUUCGUGAUGUAAAGCUCUAUCAGCAGGGAAGAAAAUGACGGUAACUGACUAAGAAGCCCCGGCUAACUACGUGCCAGCAGCCGCGGGAAGACGUAGGGGGCAAGCGUUAGCCGGAGUUAAUGGGUGUAAGGGGAGCGUAGACGGCGAAGCAAGUCUGAAGUGAAAGGCCAGGGCUCAACACUGGAACUGCUUUGGAAACUGUGUAGCUAGAGUGCAGGAGAGGUAAGUGGAAUUCCUAGUGUAGCGGUGAAAUGCGUAGAUAUUAGGAGGAACACCAGUGGCGAAGGCGGCUUACUGGACUGUAACUGACGUUGAGGCUCGAAGGCGUGGGGAGCAAACAGGAUUAGAUACCCGAGUAGUC